UGGGGUAUCUGUACAGAUAUUAAACUGAAUUAAAUAUUUCCAUUUGGUUCAAUGACAGUAACUUAUAAGAAUGGUUGAUUAGAGAUUGCUGGGAGAUAAUUGCUGGGCACCAAGCCACUUUUUAGUAAUAGUUUCAAAAUUUACAGUGAUUGGAAUAGUGAGUUUAUAUUUGGUGGUGCAUGAAAAAACAAGGAGAUACAUCAUAAAAACCUUGGAAACAAUAGAAUCAUUAUCUUUUAUAGCUUAUAAAAUGGUGGGCUGAGCUUCUGAGUCUACAAAAUUGAGUGGGAAACCUUACACAUAGUGAGUUUACCAAAGCUAGUGUCACCUCAAUGGUUUUCCAGGCCUCAUUGCCCACAUUUUGUUUUAAACUUCUUUGGGUCCUAGGAAGGUGCCCCCUUGGACAACAAUUAAGAAAAGCCCAGACCACAUUUCUAUCAUUCAGGCCUUCUUUCACUUCCUUUUCAAGGCUACAUUCAUUUCUCUUACCUGUGUCUGUAGCGAUAGAUGGUAUUUUCUUUUCUUUUUUUUUUUUAG
rnacentral:lncRNA from 1 species